rnacentral:rRNA from 1 species
GACGAACGCUGGCGGCGUGCUUAACACAUGCAAGUCGAACGGAAAGGCCCUGCGUUUGUGGGGUGCUCGAGUGGCGAACGGGUGAGUAACACGUGAGUAACCUGCCCUUGACUUUGGGAUAACUUCAGGAAACUGGGGCUAAUACCGGAUAGGAGCUCCUGCUGCAUGGGGGGGGUUGGAGAGUUUCGGCGGUUGGGGAUGGACUGGCGGCUUAUCAGCUGGUUGGUGGGGUAGUGGCUUACAACGGCUUUGACGGCUAGCCGGCAUGAGAGGGUGACCGGCGACAUUGGGACUGAGAUACGGACCAGACGCCUACGGGAGGCAGCAGUGGGGAAUAUUGCACAAUGGGCGGAAGCCUGAUGCAGCAACGCCGCGUGCGGGAUGACGGCUUUCGGGUUGUAAACCGCUUUCGCCUGUGACGAAGCGUGAGUGACGGUAACGGGUAAAGAAGCACCGGCUAACUACGUG